CUACCCUCGAUUUUCUGAAGGAAACUUACUUCCAACUUAGUUGUCAACACUUGGACGACUAUCCGCCAAGUUUCAGACAUGCGCAAUCUAAACUAAACGUGCCUCUCAGUCACCUUUCUCAGGAAGAUGCUAGAGAUGUGAUCCAUCACAAUGCGGGAAUAAGCCAAGAAGGAGAACAUUGGGAAACCCAGGAAACACAAUAGAUACGAAAGGUAAGGGGAGCAUAGUGAAUGCCAAGAGGAUGCUGAAAGAGCCCGCAAUGCCAGCUGUGCGCAGGCAGCCAGCCAGCUGCCCCGGCCAGAUUUCCUUUUGGUCAGAAAUGUCUGGGAAAUUCUGUGUCAGAGGAUGGAUUUGACAGCACUCCGGCUGCACCUGAACCUGAAGAGAUUUAAUGUUCAACCUAGAGUCUGGGAGUUGAACGGAUACACAGAAACCCAAAGAGAUUCAAGGAUCAUGCAGGUACUAGCUUCAGGGAAAACAAGAUCUGUGCAACAGAAGGAGCUGUAUUUAUGACUACUGAGUAUUGAUUUAACCCCACGCGUGGAAGGCCGGGCUUUGGAGAGAGUGAUCUACAUGAUGAAGAACCCCUGAUAUGACUAGACAUAAUUUGUGGCAGCCAAGAUUGUAAACAGAGCCUGUGCAGAUCGACUCAGACUGACCUGAGAGUUACCUUAUGCUUCAUUAUCACGCAAGCUUUCAAUGCAAAGGAAAAGUUCUUCAAGAAAUUAAAGAUGCCAUCCCAGUGAACACAGGAAUGAUAAGAAAGCAUCAUACUUAUGAAAGCAUACUGCUGAUAUGAAGAAAGUCUUAGUGGUCUAGACAGACAAUCAGUCCAACCACAACAUUCCUUUAAGUCAAAGCUUAUUCCAGAGCAAGGCUUGGACUGUCCUUAGUUUCAUGGGGACUGAGACAGGUGGGGGUAGCUGCAGAAGAAAAGUCUGAAGUUAGCAGAGCUUGGAUCAUGAGGUUUAAGAAAAGAUACCGUCUCACAACUUCAAAGUGCAAAGUGAAGCAGCAAGUGCUGAUGUACCACAGGCAGCAGGUUAUGCACAAGAUCUUGCUAAGAUCCCUGAUGGCAGCGGUUGCUUUAAACAGAUCUCAGUGUUGAUGAAACAGCCUUCUACUGGAAGAAGACGCCACCUAGGACUUUCAUGGCUGGAGAGAAGUCAGACCUGGCUUGGAGGCUCCCAAGGACAGACUGACUCUCUUGUUAGGGGCUAAAGCAGUUGGUGACUUUAGCUUAAAGUCAAUGUUCACCUACCAUUACAGAUGUCAUAGAGCCCUUAAGAAUUACAGUAACUCUAUUCUCGUGCUAUACAAAUGGAACAACACAGCCUGUAUGACAGCACAUUUGCUUACAGAGGUGGGGAACCUUUUUACCACCAGGGACCAUUUGCAUAUUUAUAACAUUAGUUGUGGGCCAUAUAAAAUUAUCAACUUGAAAAUUAGCGUGCUUGGGGUCCAGCGCUGUGGCGUAGCGGGUAAGGCUGCCGCCUGCAGGGCUGGCAUCCCACAUAGGCACUGGUUGGAUUCCCGGCUGCUCCACUUCCCAUUCAGCUCUCUGCUAUGGCCUGGGAAAGCAGUGGAGGGUGGCCCAAGCCCUUGAGAUCCUGCACUCACGUCGGAGACCCGAAAGAGGCUUAUGGCUCCUGGCUUCAGAUUGGCACAGCUCCAGCCAUUGUAGCCGACUAGGGAGUGAACCAGAGGAUGGAGGACGCUCUCUCUCUUUCUCUCCCUCUCAUUCUCUCUCUCUGUGUAAUUCUGACUUUCAAGUAAAUAAAUAAAUCUUUAAAAUUAGCCUGCUACAGAUUUAUUGAAUUUUGAGUUACACCUGUGGUUGCUUUGGGAGACACAGUCCAAAUGAUUUCUCAGGCCUUAUACAUUCUGUGGGCUACACAUCCCUCAUCCCUGGUAUACAACAUGGUUGCCUGCAUAUUUUAACUCUACUGUUGGGACUUAUUGCUGAGAAAAAAAACAUUCCUUCCAAAAUAUUACUAGUUCUUGAUAAUGUACCUGGUUACUUAGGAAUUGUUAUAGAUGUAUAACAAGAUCAGUAUUGUUUUCAUGGUUGUUAAUACAACACCCAUUCUGUAAUCCACAGAACAAAGAGUAAGUUUGACUUUCAAUCUGAUGAUUAAUACCUUAAUGAGGAGUUGCUUCUUAUGAAUGAGCAAAAAAGUGGUUUCUUGAAAUGCAAUCUACUGGUGUAGAUUCUGCAAAUAUUGCUGAAAUGACAACAAAGUAUUUAGAACAUUAUAUACAUUUAAAGAGCAGUGUCGAGGCCGGCACUGUGGUGCAGGUUAAUCCUCUGCCUGUGGCACUUGCAUCCCAUAUGGGCACUGGUUUGAGUCCCAGUUGCUCCUCUUCCAAUCCAGCUUUCUGCUAUGGCCUGGGAAAGCAGUAGAAGAUGGCCCAAGUGCUUGGGCCCCUGCACCCACGUGGGAGACCUGGAAGAAGCUCCUGACUCCUUGGUUUGGAUCAGUCCAGCUCUGGCUGUUGCAGCCAUUUGGGGCAUGAACCAGCAGAAAGAAGACCUCCCUCUGUCUCCUCUCCCUUUCACUGUCUGUAACUCUACCUCUCAAAUAAAUAAAUAAAUAAAAUCUUAGAAAAGAAAAGAACAGUGUCAGUUUAAGAGAACUGCCACGAAUUUCCUUUUAAUAUUUAUUUAUUUGACUUAUUUGAAAGGCAGAGAGACAGAGAAACAGACAGAGAUCUCCCACCUGCUAGAUCAUCGUCCCUAUAACAGCUGGGGCUGGGCCAGGCUGAAGCCGGAGCUGAGAACUCAAUUUGGGUCUCCCAAGUAGGUAUCAGGGACCCAAGUACUUGACCUGCUGUCUCCCAGUGUGUGCAUUAGCAGGAAGCUGUAAUAAGAGGUGGAGCCGGCACUUGAACCCAGGCACUCUAAUUUGGGAGGCAGGCAUUCCAAGCAGCAUCACAACUGCUGUGCUCACUCCUGACUCAUAUUUUGAAAGAAGUUCGACUCUGCAUAAGAUGCUAUCAAACAGCAUCACAUGCUACAGAGAAAUCCUUCAUGAAGGGAAGAGUCAAUCAAUUCCACAAACUGCCACUCUCUUAUUUUAAGACAUUGUCGCAGCCACUUCUGUCGCUCCCCCUCUUCGUGGAGGAACGACACUAAACCCUGCGCUGUUCUUUUGUCUGCUCGGCCCUCCCCGGGUUUGCUGCUGGUUCUUCCCGGGUUGGCUACCGACCCUUCCACCUCCGUGGAAGGGCGGUUCCCCCUGCCACUUUCCCCACUUCCGCGGGGAAGCGGCACACCGCCGGCCGGCUCUCUCGGGGGCUGCUCAGAUGUUCCUCAGGUGUUCCCGUUAGAUGUUCCUCUUAGAUGUUCCUGGUGCAUGUUGUCUCUCUCCUCCUUUAUAGUCCUCUUUCACCAAUCCCAACUCUGCUACCCACAUGCCAUGUACGCUGCUCUCCUCCAAUCAGGAGCAGGUCCUGCUGUUUAUUGGUUGAACUGGAGGCAGCUGUGUAGAAGCUGUUUCCUCCUCUCCCAGCGCCAUAUUGUGGGAGAGCAGAUGCAUAGAAUAAGUCUUAAUUCCAGUAACUUAGUCUAGUCCGAGUUGCUCCCAGUUGCUCCCCACAGAUCCCCCUUUCUUUUUAUUUUUGGCGUUGAUACGCGCCUGUCUUCGGUGCCCCACGGCACACACUCUGCUCUGCUUGCUAGAGUUGCCCACAGGUGCUUACAAGCCCUACCAAUCAGGCAAACCGAAUCCGGGUCCUCUCUUCGCCAUGUUGUGAGGAGGUUUUUAGGCGCUGAUGCGUGCCUGUGUUUGGUGCCCUGCAGCGCAUGCUCUGCUCUGCUAGAACUGCCUGCAGGUGCUUACAAGCCCUACCAAUCAGGCAAACCGAAUCCAAGCCUUCUCAUUGCCGUAUUGUGGGGAGACUUAUUGGUGUUGAUUCGUGCCUAUCUUUGGUGACCUGCAGCUCAUACUCUGGUCGAGCUGCCUGCUGGUGCUUAUCGCCUUACUAAUCAAUCAGACCGAAUCCAAGCCUUCUCAUUGCGGUAUUGUGGGGAGACUUAUUGAUGUUAAUUCGUGCCUGUCUUCGGUGACCUGCGGCGCAUAAGCUGCUAGCCGCCCGCAGGUGCUCACCACCUCCCUAAUCAGGCAGACCGAAUCCAAGCUCUCUCAUUGCCAUGUUGAGGAGAGGCCUUAUUUUUCUCUAUUUCUCUAUCUCCAGGCAUUCCUAUCUUUCCUAUUUUACUUCUAUCUACCAGCAUUCCUAUUUCUCUCGUUUUACUUCUAAACUUCUGUUUCUCUUAUCCCUGCAGCUUCCCGGCGCCCGACCCGAGGCUGCUUCUCGGCAGCUUCCCAGCUCUGAGCCGCUUCAGCCCGCGCUUCUCUCAUCUGCGUGGCUUCCUGGCUUCGCGCGCGCACUCCACGGUCUCCGCGCCCCUUCGCGCCCACACCACGGCCUCGCACUAGCCCUGGGUUCCCUAUCUACUUGUGCCCCGCGCGCUCUCUCUGCCCGCGGCGGCUUCCACGAGUCACACAGCACAGCUCACAUUUCCGCCACCGGUAUUCAGUCCAAGUUCCCUGGGCUAACCUGGCGAAUUCAACCUAGCCCACGCUUCUGCCUCACGGUUUGGCUUCCCGUCUUUUGCUCCCCGGGCUAAUCUGACGGAUUCCAACCUGGCUUACGCGUCCACCUCUAGUUUUAGCUUUUCGCCUUUUGUUCCCCGGGCUGACUUGAAGAAUUCCAACAUAGCUUACGUUUCCGCCUUGGCCUGCCCCCGCAGCUUCAAUUUCCCUAACAUUUUUCUCUACCUGGUAUGUUUCCCUAAGUUUUCUUCCAACAAUAUUCUCCUCUCAUUUCUCCUGGCCUCUCCCCACAGUCCGUAUCCAAGUCUGUUUGUUCUAGCUUUCACUUUCGCUUUCGACCUUAGAGAUUUCUCCCAGCUUCCCCCCGUAGUCCGUAUCUGAGUCUAUGCCUAGGCUUUCAAUAGCUUCUUCCGGCACCUUUUCCGUCCGGCUUUCCCCUAGGCUCUUUGCUAGUCUCUCUCUCCGGUAUUUUCCCACUUCUUCCCGCUUCUUCCCUCCUAGGUUUUCUAUCCGAGUCACGGCACCAUUAUGUCGCUCCCCCUCUUCGUGGAGGAACGACACUAAACCCUGCGCUGUUCUUUUGUCUGCUCGGCCCUUCCCGGGUUUGCUGCUGGUUCUUCCUGGGUUGGCUACCAAUCCUUCCACCUCCGUGGAAGGGCGGUUCCCCCUAGCCACUUUCCCCACUUCCGCGGGGGAGCGGCACACCGCCGGCCGGCUCUCUCGGGGGCUGCUCAGAUGUUCCUCAGGUGUUCCCGUUAGAUGUUCCUCUUAGAUGUUCCUGGUGCAUGUUGUCUCUCUCCUCCUUUAUAGUCCUCUUCCACCAAUCCCAACUCUGCUACCCACACGCCAAGUACGCUGCCCUCCUCCAAUCAGGAGCAGGUCCUGCUGUUUAUUGGUUGAACUGGAGGCAGCUGUGUAGAAGCUGUUUCCUCCUCUCCCAGUGCCAUAUUGUGGGAGAGCAGAUGCAUAGAAUAAGUCUUAAUUCGAGUAACUUAGUCUAGUCCGAGUUGCUCCCAGUUGCUCCCCACAACUUCAAGCUUCAACAAUACAACUCUGAUCAAUCAACAUCCAUCACCAUCAAAGCAAGACCCUCCACCAGCAAGAUUACAACUCACCGAAGGCUCUGUGGAUUGCCAGCAUCCUAAAUCAAUAAAAUAUUUUCAAAUUAAGACACACAUGGUCUUACAUAUGCUGUAGACUUUGGUAUAAUUUAAAUGUAACUUUACAUGUUUUGAGAAAUCAAUUUGUGUCAGUUGCUUUAUUGUGAUGUUAACUCCACUGCAGUGGUCUGGAACCAGAUCUGCAAUGUCUCUGAGGUCUGCCUGUAUAAUAGACAGUCUACAAUGCCUCAUUUCAAAAAAAUUGCCAAACAUAUUACACAGCAAAGGAAGUGUGGGAGCAAAGUUUCACUGAACAAAGGUAAAGUUCAACAGUAAAGUAACAGUUUUAGUUAUGCAUCAUUAGGGUUGAAUGACAGAUGAAACAUGUAUUAUAACAAUACCUCAAAUCAAAGUGGGGGUGGGACAGAGCUAUGUAAGAAUGCCCAUCAACAGUAGACUAGAUAAAGAAAUUAUGGGACAUGCACUCUAUAGAAUACUAUACAGCAGUCAAAAACAAUGAAAUCUGGUCAUCUGCAACAAAAUGGAGGAAUCUGGAAAACAUCAUGCUGAGUGAAUUAAGCCAGUCCCAAAGGGACAAAUAUCAUAUGUUCUCCCUGAUCAGCGACAACUAACCAAGCACCUGUUGAAGUGAAAUGGACACUAUGAGAAACAGAGAUUUGAUCAGCCCUUGUUCUGAUUGUUGAUGUACAAUUUAAUACUUUAUCCCUUUUAGUACUUUUUUUUGUUCUGGUAAAUACUAUAUAUUGGUUGAAUGUGGGGAGCAACUGAGACUAGACUAAGUUACUGGAAUUAAGACUUAUUCUAUGCAUCUGCUCUCCCACAAUAUGGCGCUGGGGAGGAGUAAACUUCUAUGCAGCUGCCUCUCGCCAACUUGACGGAUAAACUGCAGGAGCUGAUCCUGCUCCUGAUUGCAGGAGAGCAGCGUGCUCGGUGUGUGGGUAGCAGAGUUGGGAUUGGUGGAAGAGGACUAUAAAGGAGGAGAGAGACAACAUGCACCAGGAACAUCUGAGGGAACAUCAGAAGGAACACCUGAGCAGCCCCCGAGAGAGCCGGCCGGCGGUGUGCCACUCACCCGUGGAAGCGGGGAAAGUGGCAGGAGGAGCAGCCCCUCCACGGAGGUGGAGGGGUCGGCAGCCAACCCGGGAAGGACCAGCAGCAAACCCGGGAAGGGCCGAGCAGAC